ensembl:Y_RNA Y_RNA Y RNA
GACUGGUCUAAGGGUAGUGAGUUAAUACAAUUGACUGUUCAGUUACAGACAGAACUCCUUGUUCUACUACUUCCGCCUUCUCACAAAGGCACCUGACUAGUCAAAA